GUGUCUAGAACGCACGAACAAAACGACGCUAUUUGGAUAUAAAGAUGGAUUAUUUGGGACCAAACCUACAUUUGUUAUUGAAGUAGAAGUCCUGGGAGUGCAUUCUGACGAAGACAACAAAAGAAAGUAUGUUUGCAUGUCUCCAGCUCAUGGAGGCCUGAGGAGCGUGUGACCACACUACCAUGGGGAAGCCUUCUGUAUUGAUGGUGACCUCUUUCCAAGCCAAGGGAGGAAGAGACUAAUGGAUAAAUACUGAACAUGUCAUCUAUUCAACAUCAUCCUCACACAUACAUUUACAUUACAUUUUAGUCAUUUAGCAGACGCUCUUAUCCAGAGCGACUUACAGUAGGGAAUGCAUACAUGUUUUUCUCCGUACUGGUCCCCUGUGGGAAUCAAACCCACAACCCUGGCAUUGCAAACACCAUGCUCUACCAACUGAGCCACACGGGACGACCCAGGGUGGCGUUUGUUCUUCUUCAAUUAAUAAAAAAAAAAACUUGCAGUCGAGUGG
rnacentral:lncRNA from 1 species